AGGAGCAUCAUCCCCUGCAAGAGAGGCAAGUACUCUGGGCACAAGGACAGAGGAGAUCCAGGGCAGGAAUCUCACAAACCAAGGACCAAUUUGUGCAGCCAAAAGUGGUAACACCUAGACAUCCUCCUACAUUUAAUUAUGGGCUGGCACAGGAG